rnacentral:rRNA from 1 species
AGUCGACGGCAGCCGGGGGCACCCUGGUGGCGAGUGGCGAACGGGUGAGUAUACAUCGGAACGUGUCCUGUAGUGGGGGAUAGCCCGGCGAAAGCCGGAUUAAUACCGCAUACGAUCUACGGAAGAAAGCGGGGGAUCUUCGGACCUCGCGCUGCAGGGGCGGCCGAUGGCAGAUUAGCUAGUUGGUGGGGUAAAGGCCUACCAAGGCGACGAUCUGUAGCUGGUCUGAGAGGACGACCAGCCACACUGGGACUGAGACACGGCCCAGACUCCUACGGGAGGCAGCAGUGGGGAAUUUUGGACAAUGGGGGCAACCCUGAUCCAGCAAUGCCGCGUGUGUGAAGAAGGCCUUCGGGUUGUAAAGCACUUUUGUCCGGAAAGAAAACCAUCGCCCUAAUAUGGUGGUGGGAUGACGGUACCGGAAGAAUAAGCACCGGCUAACUACGUGCCAGCAGCCGCGGUAAUACGUAGGGUGCGAGCGUUAAUCGGAAUUACUGGGCGUAAAGCGUGCGCAGGCGGUCUGUUAAGACCGAUGUGAAAUCCCCGGGCUUAACCUGGGAACUGCAUUGGUGACUGGCAGGCUUUGAGUGUGGCAGAGGGAGGUAGAAUUCCACGUGUAGCAGUGAAAUGCGUAGAGA